rfam:Oryza rufipogon genomic scaffold, chr09
AGAAAGAUAAACCCUAGAUUUGCGUACCAACGUUUGACAGUUCGUCUUAUAUGAAAUAUUUUUAUAUUUUCUUAUAAUUAGUAUUUUCAUUGUUGUUAGAUGAUAAAACAUGAUUAAUAUUUUAUGCGUGACUUAUCUUUUUAAUUUUUUUCAUAAUUUUUUUAAAUAAGAUGAACAGUCAAAUGUUGGACACAGAAACCAGGGUUUGUCUUUUU